UCCCGCCCACAGCGGUCUAAGCCCCGGGCCGGGUCUACAAACGGGUGCGGGGGGCCUCAGGACGCGGCUCGGGGUCGCUGCGGUGGCCGGGCGGCGUUUGGCCACUCUCGGCCCCGGUAUCGGAGGGAAGCGGAGUCCGUUGGCAUGGUCGUUACGCGUUUAUCUUGUUCCUGGAAAGUUCCAGGGGCUCCCUCACGCAGUUUUGACAGUGGGAAUUCGAAGUAGGUGGGAGAAAAGAGCCACGAGAACUGAGCUGAAGCCAGUGUGUUGGAGUAGCUCUAGAAGAAAGAGAAUUUCAAGCCUGAUGUCAAAAUUUGGGGUAUCACAUCUGAGCCUGUUGGACUGUCCUCUGAGCCAGACUACCACCAUCUUCAGUUCAGCUGGCCUGAUCAUAAACUGUCACAGCUGAGACUGUGAAAGAGGGGGAAGAGUCGUGAGACCUUCAUCUGAAUAGCCAGCCACCCCUGCCGGUCAGGGUUGAGCAAGACUCAAAUCAUCUGGGAGAAAUGGCAUUUACCGUGAAUUGAAGGAAGCCCAUCAAUGUUCAAGACAAACAUAUAAGCCAGAUACGGUGUCAUGCUUGAAUCCUAUCUACAGAGGAAGCUGAAGCCACAGAAUCCCGCCAACACAGAAGAUAUGGAUUCAACCUAGCAAGGAACUGGUAUGAAGGCCAGCCUACCACUGUAUGGUGCUGGAGAACAACCAUGCUCUGGGAAAGCUAACAAGGCAGCGGCCAAGUGGAGCUCAGUGGGCACAGCACAGCCAGCAGGCCAUGAAGACCCAAGUCCAGUCCCCAGGACUACAAACCAGGAACCACUUCUGUCCCUUCCUUUUUGUCUGACUCUCAGAUCAAAGCCCACCUUGGUACCACAAUGACAAUAGAUCCAUCUCUAUUAUUUCCUUCUAGCUUUCAGAGUCUGUUAUAUCCUAUUUCACAUAUAUCCCUGCAGAUGUGUGUGUGCCUUUGUGUAAAGUAUAUAAACAAAUUCAUUAAAUUAGGAAUAAAAGUCUAACAGUAACCCCCCCCCAAACACAAACUGGGCAGCUGUAGACUAGAACAGUCUCUUAAAAGUGGUAUCACAUGUGUGUAAACACACAUAACACAACAAUGGUAUAAGACUUCUGAAUAUGCAAUGAUCAAAUAUCAAAUACGUAAUAGUUUAGACAUGUUUCUGUUAAUAGUCACAUGUUAUAUCACUGCAGCCUUGGUUCAAAACACACAUGUACACUGUGUGACAUCAUGCCUGCUACACCAUCAAAAGGUGUCCCAAACAGCUGUUUAGAUUGAUACCACUCACUGUAUGAGCUAAUGUUUUCUGAUCUUACAGAAACCGUGAUUAAUUAUAGAAAACAAUUUCAGCGUUUCCCUACAGUUAACUCCUCAGCAUGUUAUUAAACUAGUUAGUUACCCUUUGGACUGUACUGUAAUUUGUUGACUUGAGUUUCAUAUAAAAAAAAUUAAAUGAAUUUCGGCUUGGAAUUACAACAGAAUUUUCAAUGAUUUUUGAUAUAAUUCAAAAUAUACUUGUCACUUUGCACUAUAUAAAAUGUUUUCAGCAUUGAUGACUAUGAAAUCAAACCAACUCUGAAAAAUGUUGGAGAUGCUCUGUCCUGCAGUAUUAAUAUAUUCAGCCAAGAUUUGAUUCUUUAUGUGAAAACAAGUGAGCACAUCUGUCUCAUUUGCAUGCAGAUGUGCUUUAAUCUCAAUCAAUGUUCAAUUUAUAUCUGUGUAUCAAAGCAAUGCCUUAAGAUCUUUGAUUUAUUAUCAGUAAAUGUUUGAUUGCUAUACUAAUUUAUAUGCCUGAGGCUGCAUGAAAAUUUCUCAGACAAAAAAGGGCGACAAAGGAACAAAGUUUAACCUGUGCUGGUGCAAUGUGAAGAGAUGGUGGCCAGGGUUGUCUCCUACAACUGGCCUGUUCCCAGCAGAGGCAGCUAAGCUGCACUGUGACUAAACGACCUGAGAAUCACAAGUUGCCUGUCCUGGGUGGAGGGGUAUUUUAAAUUCUAAUGCCGUUAAGCUUUUAUUUAAAGCUUUUAAAGGAGGGAGUACUGGAAAGAUGGCUCAAUGUGAUAUUAAUACCUAUGUAAAGCAGGAUAACAGUGCUAGCAGAGGUAAAGACAGCCAGGCCAGUCACUCAGUGAGCUCCAGGUCCUAUUUGAUGAGACUCUUUAAAAAAGUAAGAUGGGUAGCAACAGGGGAAGAAGCUGAUGUCAGUGUCUGGCUCUACACAUCUGGAAGAGAGCAUCUGGAUACACGUGCCCCACCCAGACACAGCUGGAGGUCUGGACCUGGGGAUUCACUAAGCUCCUGUAACACAAUGACCAAUGAACCAGGAUACACAACAAGGAAAGGAUAUCUCUUCAAUAAAUGAUGCUAAGAAAACUAGAUAUGUGUAUUUAUAGAGGAUAAAAUUGGAUCCUUCUACUGUAUACAAGGAUGGAUUAAAGGCAAACAUAAGAUCUGAAACUAUUACACUAGAAAGAAAUGGGAAAACAUGACAGUGGAGUAGAAAUUUUUUUUUCUUUUUUCUUUUAUAGGAUACAAAGCAAAAAACAAGUGGGAUCAAAUCAAACUAAAGAGUUACACAACAAAGUGAGCACAGCACACAGACGGGAGAAAAUAUUUACACAGACGCAGUCUGGUAAGGGAUUAAAAUCCCAAAUAUUUAAGCUCAAACAAUUCACAGCAAGAAAACAAAUAACCCAACUUUAAAAGUGGGCAAAGGCCAGGUAUGCUGGGCUAAGGAAGUAGGAUCAUAAUGUCAGCUUUGGCUAAACAAAGAGGGCAAAGGGUCAGAACAGAUAUUUCAAAGUGAUGCAAAUGAAUAACAAGUGCAUGAGAAAAUGUACCAGUAGACAGUAAAAACUCAAUCCAGAGAUACCUAAAUUCAUGCUGAUUGGAGCACAAAAAUCAUUGUUGGUGGGAAUGUAAAUUGCUGUAGCCACCUAAACACUAUGAAGUACCUCAAAAGAAUGAAACCAUAAUAUCCUUAUGCAUCCAAAGAAACAGACGUUGUCAUGGGAUUUCUGCAUCAUGCAUUCCAUGAUCACAAUAGCCAAAAUAUGAAACCAACAGAAGGGUUGAUCAUGGGUGAACAGACAAAGAAAAUGUGACAGGAUGAGAAAACAUCACAGCCCAUUUGUCAUAGAGCAAACGAACCUAGAAUAAGGAAAGACAAAUAUAUAUACUUAUGUGUGAUCAUAUUUCUGCAGCACAGGAGGAGAAAGUAGAAUGUUGGUCAAAGGGUACAUGUCAGACAGGAGAAGUACAUUUUGAGAUCUACUGUACAGUAGCAUAUCUGGAGUAAAAAAAAUAUUUUAUGUUCCAAAAUAGUGAGGUAAAAUUUAAAUGUCUCACCAUAAAAAAAUAGCUAUUCCAUGCCAAAGAUAUAAAUUAUCUCGAUUUAUUCAUCCCCCACUGUGUGGAUUUCAUAUUCCAUAUACUCUGGGAUACUGUAAUCUUCUCCCCCUAGAACAUCACAUUUCCUCUACUGAAUCAUGCCUGUUAGCACUCAAGGAAUGAAUUCUCUCAAAUUAACACAACUGUUCUCAUCAUUACUUCCGCCUUGAUUUUUCUAUUUGCAACAUAAUUUUUUCUGCAUGUUUGCUUUGGCUUUCCAAAUCUGUCUCUCAUGAAACUCACACCAACUUUAUCCAUUUAUGCUUCCAAAGCUACAUUGAGGUCAAGAAUUAGUUCCUAUUAAAGUCAGCGGUCAUCUUUGAGUUCCUAGUUUACUUGGCCAUUAGAAAUCUUUGUGAACCAUAGAUCCCACCCUCUCCCGGAAGCACUCCCCCAGGGAGAGCCCUUCUACCCAGCUGAUUGCUCCUCCUCACCUACACAACUCUGGGAUCUGCUCAUGGACUCCUGUCUACUCACCCACAUGGUAGUACACGACUGUCUAUAAAUCCAGUUUCAGGGGUUCUGACACCCUCACACAGACAUAACAAUGAACAGAAAAAAUAAAAAUAAGUCAUUAAAAGGGAAAAGUUUGUUUAAAAAAACAAUAGAAUUCUUGGACUCUAUCAAAAACAAUUUAUUCUAAAAAAAAGACUACGGGGGGGGGG